rnacentral:rRNA from 1 species
GCUAGUGUUGUCCGGAAUCAUUGGGCGUAAAGAGCGUGUAGGCGGCUCGAUAAGUCCGCUGUGAAAGUCCAGGGCUCAACCCUGGGAUGCCGGUGGAUACUGUCGGGCUCGAGUCCGGAAGAGGCGAGUGGAAUUCCUGGUGUAGCGGUGAAAUGCGCAGAUAUCAGGAGGAACACCAAUGGCGAAGGCAGCUCGCUGGGACGUGACUGACGCUGAGACGCGAAAGCGUGGGGAGCAAACAGG